rnacentral:rRNA from 1 species
UGGGGAAUAUUGGACAAUGGGGGGAACCCUGAUCCAGCAAUGCCGCGUGUGUGAAGAAGGCCUGAGGGUUGUAAAGCACUUUCAGAGGGGAGGAGGACUAUUAGGUUAAGAGCUAGAUAGUUGGACGUUACCCUCAGAAGCAGCACCGGCUAACUCUGUGCCAGCAGCCGCGGUAAUACAGAGGGUGCGAGCGUUAAUCGGAAUUACUGGGCGUAAAGGGCGUGUAGGUGGAUUUGUAAGUUUGAUGUGAAAGCCCCGGGCUUAACCUGGGAAUGGCGUUGAAGACUGCAAGACUAGAGUUGGACAGAGGGUAGUGGAAUUUCCGGUGUAGCGAUGAAAUGCGUAGAGAUCGGAAAGAACACCCGUGGCGAAGGCGGCUAUCUGGACGACAACUGACGCUGAGGCGCGAAAGCGUGGGGAUCAAACAGGAUUAGAUACCCCAGUAGUCCCUGAGCGGGCUGGCAAGGCGCAU